rnacentral:sRNA from 1 species
AUCUAUUUAUUUAUUAAGUCUUUUAUUAAUAAUCCUAUUCUUAAAUAAAAGACUACUCUCCGCUCUUUUUUCGAUCUAGACUAGUUUACGUCAUACGCAUCACGUUACUUAUAAUUGCGGGAUGACUGUAUAUUAUUUGUCUAAAAGGGAAAGACGUACAUGAGUAAACUGACUGGAACCGUAAAAUGGUUCAACGAUGACAAAGGCUUUGGUUUCAUUUCUGGAACGGAUGGCAAAGAUGUGUUUGUACACUUCAGUGCUAUUCAAGCUCAAGGGCGCCGCACCUUACGUGAAGGCCAAAGUGUUGAGUUUAUCGUUACGGAUGGUCAGAAAGGCCCACAAGCUAGCGAAGUUAUUGCACUGUAAUAACCAUCACUGAAAAGAUAAAAAAACGCCGCUAGAUAGCGGCGUUUUUAUU